AUUUCAGAUAUGAUAGAAGUACUGUAGACUACCCUACAUUAAUUCGCCGCUCAGCUCCUCACUUUCUCUCUCAUCCUCUUCUUAGAAACUCCAUUUUCGACGGCGACUUCAUCUGAAAUCUCCUCUAACCAACCUAUCUUAAUUUGUUCGUUUUAGUGAAUAAGCAAAACCCUAGGAUCCGCGGCGAAGAAGGAGACAUCGAUCUCAAAGCAGUACAUCUCGAUUUAUGAAGGUUCACCCAUUUUUGAAGGUUGGGAUCUCCGAUUCACCUUGUCGCCGUCCUUGAAGCUUUCCCCUUGUUAUCAAACUCAAAUUGUUAAACCUCCCCAUCUUUCGUGGUUGUCGAAUCACCAUAAAUUGAAUCUUCUAGGGCUUCCUAAAGCAUCAAGGAGUACCGAGAUUUGUUGCUCUCUUGCUCCCAAUCAAGUUCAAACUCCGGUUGUUGUUCCUACUGGUGUCCAGAGCAUCAAGCCUGAAUGCUAUGGAGUUUUCUGCUGGACUUACGAUUUGAAAAAGGAGGAGGAGACCAGAUCAUGGAAGAAAAUGAUCACAAUUGCCAUUUCAGGUGAGGGAAAUUGAUCGAGAAUCAUAUACAGAGCCAGAGACAGUUCACAACAUACAGAGACGAAGCAGACUGUUGCUGUCGACCUGUCUAAGAGGUUAACCAAUGCCCGCACUUUUACUGAUGCAGCUAGCAUAAAACAAGGUUCUGAUAUUUACGGUGCUGCAGUUCUAGAUGCUUGUGAGCAAAUAAAAGCAAGGAUGGAUCCGAUUGCUUCAAAACGAUAGUAACUUUGCAUUUCUUUUUCUUUUUUAAAAAAUAUCUGAAGAGAAUAGACCUGGAGAAAUUUGAAUAAGUUAGAGACCAUCUCAUAAUUUUCUCUCUCCUACCUUCCUUUCUAUAUCUACCUGAUUUUGCGGAUUUUUUAUGUUAAUUGAUUUGGGUGAAAAUCGGGAUUUCAUUAGUGAUUGUUGUGAAUUUUUUUAUGUGAAUUGAUUUGGGUGAAAAUAGGGAUUUGAUUUUCGAUGCUUCUUUGUUGUUGAUUAAGUUUAAUCAUAGUGUUUAGAUACUUCUCAUAUGUUCUUUGAAUCAGGAUUUGAAUUGUGUUGUUCUGUGAUUUAACAAUGAGCUUUCAGUUUUCAAAUGUAAAUUAGCUUGAAUUUGUAUUAUUCUUGGACCAUACCCAGUAAACCAAAUAUGGCCUAGAGGCAGCCAUAAACAAUGAACUGUGAACCCAUUUCAUGAACAACCAAAAGUUCAAGCUCCUUCUCAAUUUCAGUUGGUUAAUACCCUUAAGGAUACCUAAUUACACAUAUAUUUGAUCUGUAUCAAUGCCUUGUAACUGGUCACAAUCUUAACUUGGUAAAUUUGCCUGUGGGGUGACAUCUCCUGCUGUUUGAAAUGACUGUAUCAACAAUGACUCUGAACCUUUCUGUAUCAAUAAUGACUCCGACCCUUUCUGUAUACAUGGUAGUUAAUGGUGGUUCUAGAAAACAUAGUGUGAUUUUGUGCUGGACUGCUGAAUAGAUGAUGGAUGAUAUGCAGGUAUGAAUUAGGUACUUCCACUAAUUUUCAUUUUUCUCCGUUCUUCUGGACAAGUUAGAUAUAUAUAGAGCUUGUUUAAUCCAUAAACAAGUCAUAGAAGAGUUAAUUGGAUCUUAUCUGAAUUCAUUGGCCUUUAUAAUAUCGUUUAAAAAUGGAACAUAUUUUAACAUAAUAUAGUUAUUGCUGCACCCCUGCUUUCAGUUUUGCAUGAUAAGAGAACCGCUUUGCUAGUGGCUGAUUUCGUGAAGGUUGGUUUUCUACUCAUGAUCUGUACACCAAAACCAAUUUGACUGACAUACUAAAUGCACUUUUCUCAUCACUUGCUAUGCCUUGGCCUUGAUUGUUGGGACGUUGCUCGAUACUACACUAGAAGCAAGGGAAACGUUAGAGGAUUCCGGGCAGCAGCAAUUUUUUUUUUUUUUUUUGUUGGGUGUCAAGAGAAACCGUUAGAUGGAAUAUAUUGUUGUAGAUAUUUCAAGCUUUUGUAUUGUAAGUCUUACUGAUUUGAUGUGGUUCUAUUUAAUAAUAUGAGUUGUCCAUUUUACUAUAUAA